rfam:Oryza brachyantha chromosome 4, whole genome shotgun sequence.
AAUAAUCUCAUUUUUCGUUUUCCAUGUUCAACAUUUAACCAUUUGUUUUAUUUAAAAAAAUUUUACAAUUAUUAUUAUUAUUAUUACUAUGUGAUAAAAUAUGAAUAGUACUUUAUACAUGAGUAAUCUUUUUAGGUUUUUAUACAAUUUUUUCAAAUAAAACGAAUGGUCAACGUUGGACACGGAAAAAGAAAAAUGGGAUUAUU